GUGGUACUGUGGAUGACCAGUGGGCGGACAAUUUUGCCCCUCAAUUGUUAGGCAUAUUCAGCCUUUUCACUUCCGUUGUACAGUUUAUUUACUAAUUUACCCCUUCUGUACACGUGUUGGUCAUCGUGGGAAUGUAAAAGCUCGGCCUUUCCAUUUGUUUUGAGAACGAAGCUUUUCCGUUUGUUUCCCGAUGAACCUGUCCGAUUCACUCUCUUAGAACUGCGAACCACAACAUCCUCCUCCAUUCGAGGCAUCUCCUCCCUUCUCCUCCGUUGGACAACUUCUCCCCGUCCAGGCUCCUCCCUCAUUCCUUCUCCUCCGCUCCUUCUCCUGGUCUGAAAAGAAAAGAGCUGCAGAUUAUAGUGGCUCAGUUAUCUCCUCCCCGAUGUCCGUCGUGCCAACAUCACCUUUGAAGAACAGGUUCUGGAUCUUGAGCUUCACCCUCGCUGGGGUAUCAUAAUAGCGCCGUCUUAAGGAUGAUUUGGAGUCAGAAAAAAAAAAUCCCUAAUUUUCUCUGCUUCUUGAGAUCAACGUGGCUUCCUCGAGGAUUUUCACUGAGAUUUCUUGCUUCAAAUCGCAAUGCAUUGAUGGAUACUCUAUAUAAAAGGAGCAAUUUUGGAUGAUGAGAACAAAGGAGUUGCCACAAUGCUUGAAAAGGUUAAUUAUUUUACAAAAUAAGUUCCAAUUUCUUGGUAGUUUGGCUUAACAGUAAAUUCCAAGUGAAUUUUCCGUUUGGUAGAUUUUUUUAAUGGAAUUUAAGAGAAUUGUGAACUUGGUAGAGUUAUGUUGUUUAUAGAAUGCAGAUCAGCUUUCAUGCGUAUCAGUCCUCCAAUACCUCUAUUUGGUUACAAAGCAUUCUUCCCUGGUUGAUUAUAGUAGGCAUAAUUCAAAUAGCUUAUGCAGCGUCAACAUCUCCCAGUCACCGUAAUUUAACAGAAGAAUUUGUAAUUACAGAAUUGCUGUAAAAAGUAAGCCAUCAAUUUACCACAAGUUAAUUUAGUUUUUCGUUAUAUUGGAUUUGAAUUUGGUAUUUUGUUUAGGUUUUAUUAUAUUAAUUAUCAUAAGCUUCUUUGAGAUUACAAGAUGUUCUUGGACACAUUAAUGCAACACAAGAGUUAGAACAAAAAGUGGCUGAUUAGAAGGCUUGAAAACAAGUGUAAAUCUACAUUCAAAAUAUUAGGUAAAAGCAUGUUGACAAAUCAUCUCCAAAUGUUGUAAAUACAAUACUUCUUACUAACUUUUUUUUGUUUAUGUCUAUUGAUUCAAGAGAAGGCAAAAAAAAAAAAAAAAAAAAAAGAGUUACACUAUGGAUUGAUGUUGCAAAGAACUUCAGUUCCAUUAUGUUGCAACAAUUAGUCCCGCCAACAUUUGUGGUUAUCGCAAGCCUCAAGGGUUGUAUUGGACAUAAGCUAUUCUUAAAGUAGCUGUAGCACCUUAGAAUUUUAGAGGUGAUCCGAUUGGAGGCCGUUUGCAGAUAACGAUUCUCAAUUUCUUGAGUACACCAGUAAAGGUUCUUUAUCUUCAUUUCUCAUUGACAUUUGUUUUUCCUUGAUAACGUAGUUGACAGUUCUUUUAGCCUGUUAUUAUAUAAUUACUGUUAACAAUGACUUUUAGAGAGAGAGAGAGAGAGAGAGAGAGAGAGGGAUGGAUAUACCAAAUGAUGCAUGUUCAAGGAGUACUCGAACAACAUUAUUGGAAUUGUAUAACAAUACUUGCCAUAAUUUUGGUAAGGAAUCAGUUGACAGUGUGGGGUUCGUAGAUUUGGAUUUGGCAUUUUCUGAUAUUAACCAAGGAGUGGAAAUUUUGAUUGGUUUGAUUGGUAAUUUGGGUAUGUUGUUUGCAUUCAACAUUCUAUAAUUAUGAGAGAAACCGAGAUCAUUGUAUUAUAUAUUUUAUCAGCAUUCAACAUUUAUAAUUGUGAACUAUCUUUGUGGGUCUAUCAAUUUAUUUUUAUGGUUUUCAAUUUCCUAAAUGAAGUUUGACAUAUAUGGAAUUUGACAAUUUAUCUUCAUUUGCAUUCUUGCAUUUGAAUUUGCAACUCAGUUUGUGCUAAAUGCUAUUUAAUAAUUUAGAGAAAACGUUUCAAUUGUUUCAAUUGAUUGUCAUGCAUCGCAGUUGGAAACUUGAUGAUUUAGAAUCAGCUUAUCAAUCUUCCAUACAAUUUCUAAUCCCGCAGCAACGCGCGGGCAGCAAUUUCUAGUUGUUCCUAUAUGCUGGACACGACCACCAUUUCGUACAAUUAAAGUGAAUUGUGAUGGAGCUUGGUUCAAGGCGUCGGCCCGUGGUGGAUAUGGUUAGGUAGCAAGAGAUUUUUCGGGUAUCUUUCAGGGGGCGGGCGGCUGUGGAGAUUUGCCAUAUAAAUUUAGUUUGAUGGCAGAAGUGGAUGGGAUACGAAUGGCGGUGUUGGCCUGUAUUGAUAAUGGGUUUGCGGUUGUUCAGGUAGAGUCAGACUCCAAUUGUCUUUGUAGAUAUCCUUAAUGGGAAUAUGCAACACAAUGUUGUGACUGAAGGCAUCCUCUUUGAUAUUCAGUGUUUGAAACAUCAAUUAAUGUCAGUAGAAUUUAUCUUUGCUCCUCGAAUUUGUAAAACAACGCAUCUAGUGGCUUUGUUUGUUGGGCGGGAAGAGGGCAUUCUUUCAUUGUUGGGAUGGUCUUAAGCUACAAUGGUUGUUUAAAUAUUGGCUUCUGAUGUAAACAUUUCCAUUCGAAUCUAAUAAAAUUCUUACUUUUGGAAGAAAAAAAAA